GCUCGUAGUUGAACCUUGGGCCUGGCUGGCCGGUCCGCCUCACCGCGUGCACUGGUCCGGCCGGGCCUUUCCCUCUGCGGAACCCCAUGCCCUUCACUGGGUGUGGCGGGGAAACAGGACUUUUACUUUGAAAAAAUUAGAGUGCUCAAGGCAGGCCUAUGCUCGAAUACAUUAGCAUGGAAUAAUAGAAUAGGACGUGUGGUUCUAUUUUGUUGGUUUCUAGGACCGCCGUAAUGAUUAAUAGGGACAGUCGGGGGCAUCAGUAUUCAAUUGUCAGAGGUGAAAUUCUUGGAUUUAUUGAAGACUAACUACUGCGAAAGCAUUUGCCAAGGAUGUUUUCAUUAAUCAGGAACGAAAGUUAGGGGAUCGAAGACGAUCAGAUACCGUCGUAGUCUUAACCAUAAACUAUGCCGACUAGGGAUCGGACGAUGUUACAUUUUUGACGCGUUCGGCACCUUACGAGAAAUCAAAGUGCUUGGGCUCCAGGGGGAGUAUGGUCGCAAGGCUGAAACUUAAAGAAAUUGACGGAAGGGCACCACCAGGGGUGGAGCCUGCGGCUUAAUUUGACUCAACACGGGGAAACUCACCAGGUCCAGACACAAUGAGGAUUGACAGAUUGAGAGCUCUUUCUUGAUUUUGUGGGUGGUGGUGCAUGGCCGUUCUUAGUUGGUGGAGUGAUUUGUCUGCUUAAUUGCGAUAACGAACGAGACCUUAACCUGCUAAAUAGCCCGUAUUGCUUUGGCAGUACGC
rnacentral:rRNA from 1 species